rnacentral:rRNA from 1 species
GACGAACGCUGGCGGCGUGCUUAACACAUGCAAGUCGAACUGAAAGACCCUGCUUUUGUGGGGUGCUCGAGUGGCGAACGGGUGAGUAACACGUGAGUAACCUGCCCUUGACUUUGGGAUAACUUCAGGAAACUGGGGCUAAUACCGGAUAGGAGCUCCUGCUGCAUGGUGGGGGUUGGAAAGUUUCGGCGGUUGGGGAUGGACUCGCGGCUUAUCAGCUUGUUGGUGGGGUAGUGGCUUACCAAGGCUUUGACGGGUAGCCGGCCUGAGAGGGUGACCGGCCACAUUGGGACUGAGAUACGGCCCAGACUCCUACGGGAGGCAGCAGUGGGGAAUAUUGCACAAUGGGCGGAAGCCUGAUGCAGCAACGCCGCGUGCGGGAUGACGGCCUUCGGGUUGUAAACCGCUUUCGCCUGUGACGAAGCGUGAGUGACGGUAAUGGGUAAAGAAGCACCGGCUAACUACGUG